ensembl:snRNA
GUGUCGUUUGAAAGGAGAGAAGGUCAGUGCUUCCCUGACAAGGACAGAAGAGGCCCUCAUGCCUGACAGCACACAUAAGGCUAAGGCAUUGCCACCUCCUUCAUGGCAUGUAACCAUCAUUUUUA